AUGUCUCGAAUCUUGCCAACAAUUUCCUCCUUUAAUCUAAGUUUAUCCUCGUUUAAAUUAGACACCCAUCUCUCAAUCCACACCAACUCCUCUCCCUCCCUCCUAAACGAAUCUCUAACGGAAACUUAUUUGUCUAAAGCCAAGCUAUACAAACCGAUGUAUCCUUUCAUUAAACUUCUCCCUUCGACCCAAGGAUCGACCCAAAACCUAGUAUGCACUCCAUCUCCAAUUUCUCUAACAACAUUUUCCUUGAACCACUGA